GCCGUUGCGUGUGUCGUCGGUGCCAGCUCAUAAAAUCGGCAAGCGCCUGUUCCUCUGUGUCGUUCCCCUUCCGGCUUCCUCGCCGUCGUCGCCGACUCCAAUGGGUCGCUGCCGACCUUUCACGCCUCCCCUCUCGCUGCUGGUACUGUUCCUCGCCACACCCUCUCUCACUGCACCAUUCCAACGAGAUCAAAAGGCCGUCAACAGUUCGGGUCGCAGCCUCGGCCCUCAUCCGCCCAACGCCCCAACUGCUUCCUCACCGCCCCGUCCCCCUUCAUCUGCUUGUAGUUCUCGAUUGGACCGACAAGGGACAGCUCCGAAGAACAGCGAUGGUGGUAUACCCUGCUUCGCUUUGGCCUGGCUCAUUCAACAUGUUCAGCAUUCAAAAAAAAAAGAAACCACCGUUUUUUGGGAACGGCGCGGCAAAGCGCGCCAAUUUUCCUAGUUUUUCUACGUCCACCGAGCAGUUUGCCCUCUGCCGAGAGAACCAUCCUAUGAGUAGCAAGCAAAAGGUACCCAGAACAUGCGUGCUUCAUACUCAUAGAUGGUGUCCUACAGCCUCCGUGCAUGCGUGCUCAUGCGCCCUUAGACCGACGAACCGGAAAUUAAAUAUUAGUUGUAUAUAAUUAGAGACAAACAUCAUAUUUCUUUGUUCCUAACACUGUUUAUACCAGAACAGGCUGGAGCACUUUUUUUUCCUUGAACAUCUUUCUUGAAAGAUUUGCACUUGUAAGCCUUCAUAAUAUCAUGGUUGUUCCAUCUUAUAGUACAUAUAUCAUCACUAA